CAUGGUGCAUAAAAGAAAAUACUUGGUCUUCAUCAACUUUGCUCUUUUUAAAUUUUAUUUCUAAAAUACUUUAUUUUUGAGUUUGUAAUCUGCUCAUAUCAUUUCCUCCUCCCCUUUCCUCCCUCCAAACUUUUCCAUAUACCCUCUUUUUGUUUGCUUUCUAAAACACGGCCUUAUUUUUAAAUGUAUGGCUGUCACAAUCUCUUCUGUUUAGGCAAGAGACUUGAGCUGAAGAUGGUAAGGAGGGGGAAGGGUGAUGAUCACUUAUGAAGGAAUAAAUCUUAGAGAGCAGAAGACCUGUUAUUCUAGGACCUACCAAGGAGUCAGCAACCCCCCAUCAAGAAACAUCAUCACAAUAAAUGACACGAUUACCUUAAUUCAUAGUUUCCCACACAUUUUGGACUUGUGAGUAUGUAAGUUGCGAGAGAGAUCUAAGUUGUAAAACGUUGCUGUCCUCCUAUAAAUAACACUAAACGUAACACCGUUGUACUACCCAGGUGCUUUUGUGGUACUUCUAGACCCAGCUUGUUCGGGAAGUUUCUGAAUUUCAAAAACUAACUUCAAACUCUUAUGCCACAGCUUUCAAUUUUCCUUACACGUCUUCCACCUUUUUUGUUUGUUUGUUUUAAAUCUGAUCUCCUGUCCCCUGCAUUACAGUUUCAAAUUACUAGCCAUGGCACAUCUGCAUUCACUCUGGUUCUCUGUUUGCUGAGUGUCAUUACAUGUAACUGUCCAACAUCCAUCUCUCUUGAUCCUGUCUUAGGAGUAGGGGCUGGAUCUGUUGCCUUUUAUGUAGGAUAUUAAGCUAUCACAUAAAGUGAGCGUCUUUUCUAGUGCCAGAAUCGUGCUUUUCUCACAGAACAGUUUUUAAUCAUGUCACUGUGGUGUGUUUUUUUUUUCUCUUUUUUUCUUUUUUAAUCUGCAGUAACUCUAGUUCACCUUCGGACUGCACAAACUGCAGAUCUUUUACAUUUUAAGUGGUUUUGCCACAGUUGUAAAACAAGUGUGGAUUCAUAUUUUGAAUUAAUAUCCAUGGGUCAGGUCAUCUAUUCUGUGACUUUACUACUGCUUCUGCAUCCUGACCAGGUAGCCCUUAGCAACCAGAUCUUUCCUGUAACCGUCUCUAGGGCUUAUGGCAACUCUGCUACCAAGUUGGAAGUAUGCCUGCCCGUUCCAGGACUCCAUUCUGGAAAAAAAGAAAUCACCGGCAGCCAUCAAGGACUUCAUUAAUGAGACCAGUGGGAACAUCAGCUCUCUUCACGGAAUUGUCUCACAUCUUCUUGGUGCAGCUUACCCUGCACUCCAAAGGCUUCGUCAGCACGCUUCAUUUAGUAACCUGAGAAAGCAGUUGGCUGUGGGUGAUUGAAAUAUAAGAAAGCAAACUGGGCAGACAAAUAUUUCAAAAUUUGAAGUAAAGGAGAAGGAAGAAAAAAAGAAGAGGAAAAUGAAGAAAAAGAAGAGGAGAGUAUUUUCUCCACUGAAUAAUUCUUACACAGAUCAUGGAACUUUGGUAUCUACACCCUCUGUUUACAGCUUUCUGUUACUCAAAGGAUCUUUAAGGUAGGCCCUAGACUCAAAGCACUAUUUCAGAAUCAGAAGCAGUGCUAAUUUAAGUUGGAUCUUUCAGGACCCUGAGAAACUAACUCGUGCCUGUAAGGGAGAACAUGUUAGUCUUUUGAUUUUGAAUUCUAGAGACAAAUGUAAACUGCAAGACUUGGGUGUACAUGUGGAAUCUUAGGGAAUGUAACAACUGAUGUGCAAAAUAUGAAGUCAAAUCAAAUCAUGGAAUGUUUAAUUUUUUUUUGGCUUGUUUACUUUAAAUCAGAGCCCAGUUUGGGAAUUAACAUCACAUGUCUGCUUUGUUGGUCCACCCUACCUCUCCCUCAUUCUCUUACUUAAAUGUAUAGAUUGAUUAAAAUCUAUUGUAUCCACUGGGAUUCAUUCUUUUUUUUUUACCCAACAGGUGACAAAUCUGAGACUCUUCUGUAGGUAUGAAGGUUACAUGGAAUAGCUACAGAUAUGAGUAUAGAAAUUUUAUUGUAAUAACGAAUGAACACAACAUGGUUUUUCUUUAUGUCACAAUUGCUGAACUGAUUUGACGAGCUCGUUAGAAGUUUCAAAAACUUUUUUUCAGUUAUAGAAACUACAGGUGGCCUUUGCAACUUAUUUAAAUCAAAUCUUACUGAUUCAUUUUAAUCAAUGAAUUUGUAUUUUACAGUCUUGAUAUAUCCCCCAAUCUUAUCUUCCUAUAUCAGCCUCCUAAGUGAGAUCAUUACUUGGGUUAUGACACCUAGAAAAAACAGUACCAGUGAGGACAGAAUUUUAAUAAAAAAAACCAUAUACACGAUUUAAAGAUAACAAAUCUCUUCUUUUCCAGGUUCCACCUUAUUCUGUUGCUUGCUGCUACUGGAAAUUUGAGGUAUAUCAUUUUCUAUUUUUAAUGCAGAUGGUUAAUUUUGGGCUGCACAGUCUUCACAGUUGACCUUUCUAGAAAUCUCAUGGGCUAGCUUGUACCAAACAUAGGUAGAUUUACAUGUGAGCAUGCACUAUAAUACUCAACAAAAGUAAUGAGUACUGUGAAGUGGACCUUUCCUUUAAGAUUACGAUGAAGAAGACACGCCAUGGAACCUUCUACAGUUUUAGAUUUUAUUUAUUUAUUUAGAUUUAGUUUACCAUCCUCAGACUGUCUUGUCUGAAAACAUAAUACUUAUUAAAGAGUAAAUUAUAUUUCCCAUAUUCAUUUGUAUUUCAUGCAAAGCUUGAGGUCUAUGUCAUGUCCUUUACCUUGCAUUCUGUUUAGAUGCAGAGACAAUGGAAAGAUGAAAAAUUAGAAGAAUGCUGAAAGCCCAAGGCUCAAACCAAAUGAAAAAGCCUCAAAAGUUGGAAAAGUUUUCUAUCCUUCUGAGUGCUGAUGACUAACAUCUGUCUCCUCAUCUAUGUCAGGGAUGAGUUUUGUUCUUAGGAAUAUACAUUAUAUCAAUCCAUUAUAUAUCUUGAAACUAUAAUUGUCUCCUGCCAGUAUUCUUUUUUCUAAUAGGAAUAAUUCAGGUUAUUUUAAUGCCAGUUUUCUGCUAUUCUGAUAACCAUUAAGAUGUUUCAGAUACAUCCAGGUAAGCAGUUUUGUAAUGUAGCAUUUUCUAGCAUUUUCUUUGGGGCAGACAACAGGUUAUAUUUUUGUUGUUGUUGUUGUUGUUGUUUUUGCACACUUUUGAGUGCUGUAUUGAUUAGUUGUUGAACACUUCAGAUGGUUUUUUUUUACAUUUUUCUUUUAUUGGAUUUUAAUUUACAUUUCAAAUGCUAUCCCCCUUUCCUGGUUUCCCCUCCAGAAAUAUCCUAUCUCCCCCUGCUUCUAUGAGUGUGCUCCCCCUACUCCCUCCCGCCUCCCUACCCUGGCAUUCUCCUACAUUGGGUCAUUGAGACUUAACAGGACCAAGGAUCUCUCCUCCCAUUGAUGCCUACCAAGGCCAUCCUCUGCUACAUAUGCAGAUGGAGCCAUUGGUCCAUCCUUGUGUACUCUUGGGGUGGUGGUUUAGUCCCUGGGAACGCUGGGGUGUCUGGUUGGUUGAUAUUGUUUUUAUCCUUAUGGUGUUGCAAACCCCUUCGGCUCCUUCAAUCCUUUCUCUAACUCCUCCAUUGGAGACCCUGUUCUCAGUUCAAUGGUUAACCGUGAGCAUCUGCCUGUGUAUUUGUCAGGCUCUGGCAAAGCCUCUCAGGAGACAGCUAUAUUAGACUCUUGUCAGCAUGCAUUUUUGGCAUCCACAAUAUUGUCUGGGUUUAGUGACUGUAUAGGGGAUGGAUCCCCAUGUGGGGCAGUCUCCGGAUGGCCUUUCCUUCAGUCUCUGCUCCACAUUUUGUCUCCAUAUUUCCUCCUGUGAGUAUUUUUAUUCCCCCUUCUAAGAAGGACUAAAGCAUCCACACUUUGAUCUUUCUUCUUCUUCAGCUUCAUGUGGUCUCUGAAUUAUAUCUUGGGCAUUUUAAAAGGCAAGGGGUGAGGAAAAAAAGCAAUGGAAGCCAGUAACUAGAAGAGUAUUCAGUGGUUAUGUUAGGAAAAUAUCUGUACACAUUUUGGGGAGUGUUUGGAGUCUUUAAUAUAAUGUAUACACAAAAUAGUAUUAUUUAAAAAAGAAAAAUGCCUAAAUCAUGCAGUUAGGCAAAUUUUAUUAUUGUUUUAAAGGGUUAAAGAUGCAAUAGUUUUACAAUGGAGUAUGGAAGUCUCCUCAAUGACAACCCUGUAUAUUAAUCUUAGAGAUCUGUGAACUGUGUGGCAACUUGAAGGAGGCAGCCCUUAGAGAAAAAUUUAACACACACACACACAAACACACACACACACACACACACACACACACACACACACACACACACACACACACACUUUGUUCCAUGAGUCCUGAUUCGUAUAUAAAAUUUGUACAUCAUCCUAUAAGCUCUGUAGUUUGACCCCUCUGCCACGCUGUCCCACCUGAUGCUCCUUUCAGAGCAUGUCUUCCUUUUUACAGAUUGAAGAUGAAAAAUGUUAUGUAAUUACCUCUGACGUGUCUCUCUCUGCUUUAGAACACACAUCAACUUUUCUUCCAUUUGUCCGGUAGGCUGGCUGCUAUCUUCAUCAUUGGCCUUAUGGUACAUUGCUGGCCGGCCUCCUGCUGUAACUUAGUAGUGUUUUCAUGAUGGGCGAGGAAAGGCUGCAUGGAAGACUGCUGAAGAAAUGCCACAGUUAUACUGUGUUCUGUGUGCUGCAUAGCUUGGUCUGCUGUAUACUGUGGACAGUACUUUGUGUACAGUACAGGUUUUGCAGGCGGUAUUUAUUUUGUUAUUAGGGAUCAAGCCAAGGGGCCUUAUGCGCUGUGCAUGAGAGGCAUGCUGCUGAUCACUGAGCUGCUAAUCUCACAUCCUCCCCUUGGAUAUCUUCUGCAUGGAUUCGUACUUUGAACAUGAUGUCCUCCUGACUCAGAUCCCCGAAUAGCUGGAAUCUUACAAACCUGAUCCAUCAGCCUUGGCUGUUAAGUCCAGGACUGGGAACUGCAUGAACAAGAUUAAAGGACAAAACCAGCUCUCAGUGUAGCUGAGUGGACAGCUGGUUAUUUGGUCUGAUUGAGGAGUGCUGAGGAGACUGCUUCUUUCUUUAAUGGCAUGCACAAGGUACUUAGGAUUCUUUCCUUAGGUUUAUGCAUAUCUGGUGAUUGAGUUUUAAAUGCUGUUUUAAAAUGGAAAUUAUUCAAGAAUACAUCCUGAUUAGUCACUAGUCUGGAAUGUAAACCAAAAGAGAAGAGAGGAGAAGAAAAACCAACUGAAAUCAUUAUUUCCAAGUUAACUUUUCAAAUAAUCAUAGCUUCUGUUGAGGGCUUGAGACGAAAUGCUGCUUUUUUACCUGGCUUUUUGCAUUCAUUUCUCUUUUUGACUCUCAUAUCUCUGGGGAGAGAUGACAUAAGAGGCGCUUCUCACGCCUCCAGCUCACUGUUCACUUCACUGUUGUGGACUCUGAAGACUCAAAGACGAAUAACAACAAUAGUACUGAGCAAGAAAGCCCUGGUCUCUCAUUCUUCAAAUGGUCUCCCUUCACAGGAGUGCAGGAUUCACUAUAAAUUCUCCUUUCCAUUCACUCCCAUCUCCAGUGCAGGAUCUAAGGUCAAUUUAAGUGGGAACAUGUUAGUUACUUUUUAAAACUUGACUGUGCUAUUUAAAUAUGAGAACAAGAGAGACUAUGAAACAGUUGUGGAGUAAUUGAUGUUGUAAAGGCUUAUUCAUUUAUUUUGUGUCAGAAUUUUCUUCCUUUUAGAUGUUGAAUAAUAUUCUAUCAUAUGCAUAUACAUUCAUUUACUGAUUAAUUUAUCCAUGGGCAGUUGGAUUGCUUCCACCUGUUGAUUAUUGUAAGUUAGGUUGCUAUGAUUGUAGCUUAUGAAUGUAUUAUUUUGAGAAAAACAACUUAGGCAUAGCUUGGAAUUGUUGAAUAGUACAGUAACUACAAUAAUUUUCUGAGCAACUGCCACACUGUUUUCCCUGCUGGAUGCACCACUCUGACCAACAGUGUAUAAAGGUUACAGGCUCCUGAGUCCUUGCUGUCAAUUAUAUUCUCCCUUCCUUUCUG